UCCGUGUCCACGCUCGACCUCUGGCCGCGGCGUUAAACAGAAACGCCAAAGUCGACGGAGAAUCGCUGUACGCAGUUGUCCGGGUCGAGAGGACCAUUCGGACGGGUCUCGCAUUAAAAUGCGCCUGAAAGGUCGAGGGAAUCCGCCGGAACCAGAAACCCUGGCCGAGGAAGGAAAAGGGGCCUUCCUGAUUCCCUUUUUCCCGCAGAUUCCAAAAUAAACCCUGGAGCCUGCAUCGACUUUAGGCGUGUCAACUAGGGAGCAGGGGAUCGGAUAAAGAUACCGACUCCAGGCGGAUGAAGUAACGGCUAACUUUGGACGUGGAAUUCGCUCGAAGCGCAAUCUUUAAAUAUCCUUAGAAAAGACUGCUGCGCGGCGGCAGGGUGCAAGGAAAAUCCGAGAAGCCCAGGGCUACCGCAGGUGGAGGGCACCCCUGCACCGUGCUGGAAGUCGCGGCUCUUCUCCUGCUCGGGCGAGAUUUGUCGUAGGUCGCGGACAGUCCACGGGAGAAAGAGAAAGGGGAAGGAGUCGGAGGAGAGAACGGUCUUCGGGGUGGUUAAUAACCGACUUCUUACCACCGUCGGCAGCUUCGAUCUCCCUGGAGGGGAAUAAAUGCAAAAUCGCCCACACUUCGGCAGCUGGACGCGAAAUCGCACCGAGGGAUCGGAACGACCAGCGACAUUGAUAUGGCGUAUCAACGUCGCAACGGCUCGCCGAACUCCAGACCGGGUCUCGGUUAGUAGGUUUAAUCGGUUUAGAGACGAUCGAUCGGCAUCCCGGUGAAUCCAUCUCGACGACAAAGAGGGAGACGGCCCAACCCCUUCUGUAUAUAAUUCUGAUAAACGCUGGCCCUCGGAGACCCCGUCACGCCAACUAAUCCACCCUCGAAUGCUUGGCUCCGGACCUCAAGGGCCAUCGGAUAUCUCUCAUUCUCCGAAAGGACAUCUCUUAAUCAAACCAUCAAACGUCUUUCCAACAACAGCGGAUGUAUACGUAAGGAGUUGCAGUGAUAAGGAAGAUAGAGAGAGAGAGAAAGCCACUUUGUUGGGAGCGAGAAAGUGCCAUUUUUGAGCCUCGACGUCGAGGGAAGGACGCAAAGAGAGCGACCCUCUUCGCCUGCGGAAAGGAGAGGGACUACCCUUACACCGUGCGGAAAGGUCGCGCGACUUGCGCAAUCGACGCCCGUAAUCUCCCGAGAAAUGUGGCAAAGUGCGAGAGUAUCGCCGAUAUAAACAUGUCCGCCAGGCGUAGCGUCGGUCGUUGAAACGGUCGCAGUUAGAGCGGCCUUAUCGCGGUUAUCCGCGAUGAU